UACGGAGGGGGCUAGCGUUGUUCGGAAUUACUGGGCGUAAAGCGCACGUAGGCGGCUUUGUAAGUUAGAGGUGAAAGCCCGGGGCUCAACUCCGGAAUUGCCUUUAAGACUGCAUCGCUAGAAUUGUGGAGAGGUAAGUGGAAUUCCGAGUGUAGAGGUGAAAUUCGUAGAUAUUCGGAAGAACACCAGUGGCGAAGGCGACCUACUGGACACAUAUUGACGCUGAGGUGCGAAAGCGUGGGGAGCAAACAGG
rnacentral:rRNA from 1 species